rnacentral:rRNA from 1 species
UACGUAGGGUGCAAGCGUUAAUCGGAAUACUGGGCGUAAAGCGUGCGCAGGCGGUUUUGUAAGUCUGUCGUGAAAAUCCCCCGGGCUCAACCUGGGAAUUGCGAUGGAGACUGCAAGGCUAGAAUCUGGCAGAGGGGGGUAGAAUUCCACGUGUAGCAGUGAAAUGCGUAGAUAUCGGGAGGAACACCUAUGGCGAAAGCAGCUGCCUGGGCCUUUACUGACGCUAAGACUCGAAAAGCUGGGGGAGCAAACAGG